GAUGAACGCUGGCGGCGUGCCUAACACAUGCAAGUCGAACGGAGAUUACGGGCGGAAGUUUUCGGAUGGAAGCCUGUAAUUCUUAGUGGCGGACGGGUGAGUAACGCGUGGGCAACCUGCCCUAUACAGGGGGAUAGCAGCUGGAAACGGCUGGUAAGACCGCAUAAGUCGGCGAGACCGCAUGGUUUUGCCGGGAAAUGAGCAAUCAGGUAUAGGAUGAGCCCGCGUCCGAUUAGCCAGUUGGCAGGGUAAAAGCCUACCAAAGCAACGAUCGGUAGCCGGACUGAGAGGUCGGACGGCCACAUUGGGACUGAGACACGGCCCAAACUCCUACGGGAGGCAGCAGUGGGGGAUAUUGCACAAUGGAGGAAACUCUGAUGCAGCGACGCCGCGUGAGUGAAGAAGUAUUUCGGUAUGUAAAGCUCUAUCAGCAGGGAAGAUGAUGACGGUACCUGACUAAGAAGCCCCGGCUAACUACGUG
rnacentral:rRNA from 1 species